CCUACGGGGCGCAGCAGUGAGGAAUAUUGGUCAAUGGGCGCGAGCCUGAACCAGCCAAGUCGCGUGAGGGAGGAAGGCCCUACGGGUUGUAAACCUCUUUUGCCGGGGAGCAACGGGCGCAACGUGUCGCGUCACUGAGAGUACCCGGAGAAAAAGCACCGGCUAAUCCCGUGCCAGCAGCCGCGGUAAUACGGAGGAUGCGAGCGUUAUCCGGAUUUAUUGGGUUUAAGGGGUGCGUAGGCGGAGCGGUAAGUCAGUGGUAAAAUUGAGGGGCUCAACCCCUUCCCGCCAUUGAAAAUGGCGUUCUUGAGUGGAAGAGAAGUAUGCGGAAUGCGUGGUGUAGCGGUGAAAUGCAUAGAUAUCACGCAGAACCCCGAUUGCGAAGGCAGCAUGCCGGCUUCCGACUGACGCUGAGGCACGAAAGCGUGGGGAUCGAACAGGAUUAGAUACCCUUGUAGUC
rnacentral:rRNA from 1 species